CAUGAAAUACUCUGAUCCUUUUUAAAGAUGCUGUACUAUUGACUUUUGUACUAUUUCCUCCAUAAUAUCUGUAUUUAUUCUACAGCCCUGUUGCUGUGUCAAUAGCACAGAGGAAACAUUGGUGGUGCAGCAUGUUGAAGAAGGAAAUGAAGUGGAACCAGACGUCCAAGAAUUGGAGACGAAUUGGAGAUGAUGAAGAUCGAGACGAUGACGACGAUGAUGUUGAUGAAGAUGGAAAUGGUGAAACGUCUCAUCCUGUCCAUGGAUUAAGAGCUAUGUAAUGAACAUGUGGUCUUCUAGUGUCCAUUAGUACAACAUGUGAGAUUGGACACUGGAGCAUACAUACCAGACCAUACUGGAGAAGAUGG
ensembl:lncRNA